AGGGUGACGAUCUUUUGGGCGGAACCAAAAGUUGGGAAAGUUUGGUUCCGCCCGGAUGUUUCCGCCCGGACCGGGAAGAGAAAACACCGGACAUCCGGUAGCAUCGCGAGGGCUGUAAUCAGCCAAACUACGUACAGCUGUGAGUUAUUAAGAGGAGCGCCGGGUGAUUGGACGAUGGCAACACCCAGGAGAGUAUUUAAGAGCAGUUUAAACCACAGUUUGGGUUCAUGUUGUUCCUGUUGUUGGUGUGUAUCGUAGCGCUGAGUUGGGCUCGCCUGUUACGCUUAUUGGAUCGCUGUACUUGCUCUCUCUCUCGUCUUGUAUCGUGGACUUAUGUUGAUGGAGAUACCGAAGACCUUAUAGGUUGAAGAGUAAACGGAUAUUGACAUUGGAUGAGAGAAACAAAGGAAGAAGAAACGUACCAUUGUGAGUAUACAUCUGUGGAAAAGUGGUGUUGGCGACUGGAAACCGCCCUGUCUAUGUAUCUGGAGUCAUUGCAGUAUGAAAUCAACAUAGGGGAACGUGGGACGAAGAAAGUGCAGUAGUCGUGAGUAACAGAAUCCAUUUAUGGAAGUGAAUUGCAUGUACUUGACCUGUAUAUCUUUUUGAGUGUUUCCAAGAGAGAGUGGGUGGCCCUACCCCUGAGUCAGCGUGGUGGGUGAGCCGAAGGGUCCUUGUGUUGAAACAGCUACAGUGACGAAAACAAACACUAGGCCGUGUUACCAUCUCCAUAUUCUCGCCCAGAGCGAAGUGAAGGAAGACGGGCGUCUAUUGUGUGCACUGAGCGUGGUGGGUGAGUCUUUGGAUGUAGAAAUUUUCACUUGAAGUGGUGCUGUGUAAUGCUGUGUAUUGCAGUGAGAUUGCUGUGUCUUGUCAGACGUACCCCCGCCUCCAGUCACUCGUCCCGGGACGACGAAGAGGAAAGCGGUUCUAGAGCAAACCUGUAUAUGAUUAUGCUAGCUAGAGGCGAAGGAGAUCCGCCGCCCCGAGGUCUCUACGAAGGGGCGCCCCGGUCCAGUUUUCAAUUGCCAAUGGGUGUCGAGGAAAGGGCAGCGCUCGACCCGGUGUGACGGCGUGACGUUCUCGCCCCUCUGUAGACCAACGAGCUCGCCGAGAGGGUUUGGUCCCCGGCGUCAUAUAGAAACCACUGUCCAGUUGACGCAUUGCGUAAGCCAGCUAUCGUAAGUCCGCCACCCUGUAAAGUACAGCAUAACCUGUUAAGUCUGCCGAUCAACAGGGACGAGGAGUGUGUUGUGAGAGCUGUGAAGAGAACCAUACCUACCCAGAAGCUGUAGUCAGCGAAGAGGUGAGAGAACCAAUUGAAAUCGAUUCACUGUGUCCCUGUGUCCCAGCUGUCGUCUGUGGAGAGAGAGAGAGCCAGCGUGAACGCUAAGAUACCGAGCUGUGAAGAGAACCAUACCUACCCAGAAGCUGUAGUCAGCGAAGAGGUGAGAGAACCAAUUGAAAUCGAUUCACUGUGUCUGUGUGUCCCAGCUGUCGUCUGUGGAGGAAUAGAGAGAACAAGUGUGAGCGCUGAGGAAACGAGCUGUGGAGGAAAGUCAUACUUACCAAUGAGCUGUAGUCAGCGAAGAGGUGAGAGAACCAUUUGAAAUCGAUUCACUGUGUCUGUGUGUCCCAGCUGUCGUCUGUGGAGGAAGAGAGAGAAUAAGCGUGAGCACUUAGGAAGCGAGCUGUGAAGGAAAACCAUACGUACCAGAAGCUGUAGUCAGCGACGAGGUGAGAGAACCAUUUGAAAUCGAUUCACUGUGUCUGUGUGCCCCAGCUGUCGUCUGUGGAGGAAGAGAGAGAACAGCGUGAACGCUAAGAUACCGAGCUGUGAAGAGAGCCAUACCUACCCAGAAGCUGUAGUCAGCGAAGAGGUGAGAGAACCAAUGAAAUCGAUUCACUGUGUCUGUGUGUCCCAGCUGUCGUCUGUGGAGGAAUAGAGAGAACAAGUGUGAGCGCUGAGGAAACGAGCUGUGGAGGAAAGUCAUACUUACCAACGAGCUGUAGUCAGCGAAGAGGUGAGAGAACCAUUGGAAAUCGAUUCACUGUGCCUUUGUGUCCCAGCUGUCGUCUGUGGAGGAAUAGAGAGAACAAGUGUGAGCGCUAAAGAAACGAGUUGUGAAGGAAAACCCAUACUUCCCAAGAAGCUGCAGUCGGUGAAGAGGUGAGAGAACCCUUCUGAGAUCGAUCCACUGUGUCCUCGUGUCCCAGCUGUAGUCUGUGGAGAGAGAGAACAGGAAGGGAGAGUGAGUCGACAAACAAGGAGCUGUGUGAGAUAGGCGGCGAAGCGCGGACAGGAAAAAAGUCAAUACCAACACUGAUUGUAAUUUGUUCUGCCUCCAGGAAGGAAGAGGAGUGCGCCACGGGCAGAAGGAACCAGAGGCGGGAGCCUGUUCCUCGACGCAACCCCCCCCACCCUCUGUCACUCAUUCGGCCGUGGCCCCCUGGAGGGCAGAGCCUGACAUUAGUUUUAAUUUCCCUUUCCCCAAGUCCCAGUACAUUUUAAAUAUUUAAAUAAAUAAAGAAUGUUUUUUUAUACUUA